rnacentral:rRNA from 1 species
GACGAACGCUGGCGGCGUGCUUAACACAUGCAAGUCGAACGAUGAAGCUGGAGCUUGCUCCGGUGGAUUAGUGGCGAACGGGUGAGUAACACGUGAGUAAUCUGCCCUUGACUCUGGGAUAACUGCGGGAAACUGUAGCUAAUACCGGAUACGACACCUUCGGGCAUCCGAUGGGUGUGGAAAGAAUUUCGGUCAAGGAUGAACUCGCGGCCUAUCAGCUAGUUGGUGAGGUAAUGGCUCACCAAGGCGACGACGGGUAGCCGGCCUGAGAGGGUGACCGGCCACACUGGGACUGAGACACGGCCCAGACUCCUACGGGAGGCAGCAGUGGGGAAUAUUGCACAAUGGGCGAAAGCCUGAUGCAGCAACGCCGCGUGAGGGAUGAAGGCCUUCGGGUUGUAAACCUCUUUUAGUUGGGAAGAAGCGAAAGUGACGGUACCAACAGAAAAAGCACCGGCUAACUACGUGCCAGCAGCCGCCGCAG